AUGGAUGAUGCAGACAAGAUCGUGAAUAAAAUCUUCUCAUGGAUGGAUCUACAAAAGGACAGUAUAGACAAGUUGAACGAGCUAGCCACUCAGUUGGAGGAACAGCAGAAGACUAUCAAUGUCACUAAAGUUGUCGGGAGCUCAGUGUCUGUGGGUGGUGCAGCUGCCAUGACAGUAGCAGGUGUAGUAAGUGUUUUAACAGGAGGACUGUCGAUACCUUUGUUAGCUGGAACAGGAGUAGUGGCAUCAGGUCUCGGUUUGGCUACUAGUGUGGGUUCUGAUGUUGUUGGUGCUGUCUUAUCAAGUAGGACUAUGGAAGAGGCCACAAAUAUUUCAAAAAGCCUUGAUGCUCUUACAGCAGAAAUCACAGCACUCAUGGAGUCCCUCUUAACAAAAACAACAGGCAGACAGCAACGGGGUAAAAAUGUUUCUCCAGAAGAAUAUGUGAAGGAGGCGAUCCUGAGAGCAAUGGCCAAACGCAAGGGUUUGAUAUUAAAUGAGAAGGACAGUUUAAUCAAGCUGUUAUCUCAGCUGCCACUUGAGAAGAUCUUUAAGAACGACGUAGAAUCAGACCUCCUCAAAAAGUCAACAACGGAGGUGCCACUGCUUUCAGACUUUGUUACAGGGUUGGUCUCAGAAAAACUCAUGAAAUAUAGGGUCAGCAAAGCCAAUUCCCUGGGUUUAAAGGCAUCGACUACAGCAGUUGGAAAAAUUGGCACAGGGGCAGUAGGGCUUCUGUUUUCGGUUCCAGAGCUCAUCGAAAACUGUAAAAAUCUGAACAGCCAUGAGACAGAAGACAGUCGGUACCUGAGAGAGAAGGCUGGAGCAAUACAAGAAGCUUACGGAGCCAUGAAAUCAGAGCUGGAUGAAAUUGAGGCAACGUGUGCGAGGUUAGCUGACACGAAGUGGAAGAAGUACAGAAAGAGAAGCUGUUUGUGUUCAUGUGCUUCUUCAUCACCAUGA
rnacentral:lncRNA from 1 species